GCUGGGUGUGGUAGCGGGUGCCUGUAAUCCCAGCUACUCCGGAGGCUGAGGCAGGAGAAUCGCUUGAACCCAGGAGGCAGAGGGUGCAGUGAACCGAGAUCAUGCCACUGCACUCCAGCCUGGGUGACAGAGUGAGACUCUGCCUCAA
rfam:Homo sapiens chromosome 17, GRCh38 reference primary assembly.